UGGGGAAUUUUGGACAAUGGGCGAAAGCCUGAUCCAGCAAUGCCGCGUGUGUGAAGAAGGCCUUCGGGUUGUAAAGCACUUUUGUCCGGAAAGAAAUCCUUGGCUCUAAUACAGUCGGGGGAUGACGGUACCGGAAGAAUAAGCACCGGCUAACUACGUGCCAGCAGCCGCGGUAAUACGUAGGGUGCAAGCGUUAAUCGGAAUUACUGGGCGUAAAGCGUGCGCAGGCGGUUUGCUAAGACCGAUGUGAAAUCCCCGGGCUCAACCUGGGAACUGCAUUGGUGACUGGCAGGCUAGAGUAUGGCAGAGGGGGGUAGAAUUCCACGUGUAGCAGUGAAAUGCGUAGAGAUGUGGAGGAAUACCGAUGGCGAAGGCAGCCCCCUGGGCCAAUACUGACGCUCAUGCACGAAAGCGUGGGGAGCAAACAGGAUUAGAUACCCUGGUAGUCCACGCCCUAAAACGAUGUCAACUAGUUGUUGGGGAUUCAUUUCCUUAGUAACGUAGCUAACGCGUGAAGUUGACCGCCUGGGGAGUACGGUCGCAAGAUUAAAACUCAAAGGAAUUGACGGGGUCAUAGCUGUUCCU
rnacentral:rRNA from 1 species